rnacentral:rRNA from 1 species
UGGGGAAUCUUGGACAAUGGGGGCAACCCUGAUCCAGCCAUGCCGCGUGAGUGAUGAAGGCCUUAGGGUCGUAAAGCUCUUUCGCCUGUGAAGAUAAUGACGGUAGCAGGUAAAGAAACCCCGGCUAACUCCGUGCCAGCAGCCGCGGUAAUACGGAGGGGGCUAGCGUUGUUCGGAAUUACUGGGCGUAAAGCGCACGUAGGCGGACCAGAAAGUUGGGGGUGAAAUCCCGGGGGCUCAACCCCGGAACUGCCUCCAAAACUAUUGGUCUAGAGUUCGAGAGAGGUGAGUGGAAUUCCAAGUGUAGAGGUGAAAUUCGUAGAUAUUUGGAGGAACACCAGUGGCGAAGGCGGCUCACUGGCUCGAUACUGACGCUGAGGUGCGAAAGUGUGGGGAGCAAACAGGAUUAG